rnacentral:rRNA from 1 species
GUCUGCCUCGAUUUUUUUAUCGUUGGCCUCAGAUCAKGG